rnacentral:lncRNA from 1 species
UUGGGUGGCCUGGGCGGCGUUGGUCCGGUGCGUCCUGUUCUACAGCUAUGGCCGGGCCAGCUGCAGCUUUCCGCCGCUUGGGCGCCUUGUCCGGAGCUGCGGCCUUAGGCUUCGCUUCCUACGGGGCGCACGGCGCCCAAUUCCCAGAUGCCUACGGGAAGGAGGCGGCCUGAGCACGCUCACUGACACCGUUUGGCGGCCUGUCACCCGCGUGGCUGGGGCACCUGCAGAAACUGCUGUCGCUGCGAGGUGCCCGUGUGGGUCACCGCUGUGCCAGGGAGAGAAGACGGCGAGGUCGCCCCUGGGAGGCAGAAGGCGAGCCAGGAGCCAGUCCUGGAAGCCAAUGAAGGCGCCGCCCAAGAGACCCUGGGCCGGCGCCGGGCGCAGCUGCCUCUCCGUCUUUGUGUCUGUCUCUGUGUCUGUCUGGCUAUCUCCGAGUUUGCCUCCGCUUCCAGAACUAAGCCACCCAGACACCAUCAUCUCGAAAACCCCAGCCCUUCUCCCAUGGCAGGCUACUUGCCCCCCAAAGGCUACGCCCCUUCGCCCCCACCUCCCUACCCUGUCACCCCUGGGUACCCGGAGCCGGCGCUACAUCCUGGGCCCGGGCAGGCGCCAGUGCCCGCCCAGGUACCUGCCCCAGCUCCCGGCUUCGCCCUCUUCCCCUCGCCUGGCCCCGUGGCCUUGGGGUCUGCUGCCCCCUUCUUGCCACUGCCAGGGGUGCCUUCUGGCCUCGAAUUCCUGGUGCAGAUUGAUCAGAUUUUGAUUCACCAGAAGGCUGAGCGAGUGGAAACGUUCCUAGGCUGGGAGACCUGUAAUCGGUAUGAACUGCGCUCUGGGGCCGGGCAGCCCCUGGGUCAGGCGGCCGAGGAGAGCAACUGCUGCGCCCGUCUGUGCUGUGGCGCCCGCCGGCCGCUGCGUGUCCGCCUGGCCGACCCCGGGGACCGUGAGGUGCUGCGUUUGCUCCGCCCGCUGCACUGUGGCUGCAGCUGCUGCCCCUGUGGCCUCCAGGAGAUGGAAGUACAGGCUCCACCAGGCACCACCAUUGGCCACGUGCUACAGACCUGGCAUCCCUUCCUCCCCAAGUUCUCCAUCCAGGAUGCCGAUCGCCAGACAGUCUUGCGAGUGGUGGGGCCCUGCUGGACCUGUGGCUGUGGCACAGACACCAACUUUGAGGUGAAGACUCGGGAUGAAUCCCGCAGUGUGGGCCGCAUCAGCAAGCAGUGGGGGGGCCUGGUCCGAGAAGCCCUCACAGAUGCAGAUGACUUUGGCCUACAGUUCCCGCUGGACCUGGAUGUGAGGGUGAAGGCUGUGCUGCUGGGAGCCACAUUCCUCAUUGACUACAUGUUCUUUGAGAAGCGAGGAGGCGCUGGGCCCUCUGCCGUCACCAGUUAGAGGCCACCAUGGUGUGAGGAGACCAUCACCUCGACCAGAACUCCAGAUGGUCACCUGCCCUGGCCCCUCCUCUGGGCAGCCCCUUUCCUCCAUGUACACUGCAGGGGACAGAAGGGGGGCCCCAUCCCUACCCUACUCCCUGGCCGCCUGCCCCUGUGGUUCCCAAGGAGGGGUAUGUAUGAGAGCCGCUCUCCUGCUACCUCCCACCACUGUCCCAGCAGUCCCUCGGCACACAGGCAUAUCAGCUUUCACACUUUCCCCAUGCACUCUCUCCCACCCCCUUCCAGGGCCUCUGCUCCAAAGGAGGCCUCUGGAACCCAGGACUCUGGGGUUUUACAAGAGGGCUGGGGUGUGGAAGGGCAAGCUGCACCAAAGACGGUGGAUAUAGCCACCGCCCCCCCGCCGCUGCCUAGCAUCUGCUUGGCCAAUUAGUUCAGCCUCAGACCAUGGCACUUUGAGGGGGUCUCUACCUCCCCAUCAACAGCUGCAGGGGGACCCCAGUGCCAACUUCCUCUCCCACUAGGGCCCUGCCUUCAGCUGGUGCUUGCUGCGAUUCCUGUGCCUUAUGUAACUGCCCUUCCUUCCCUUGCCCUAGGAAAAAGGCUGCAUCUUUAUAUGUUACAUUCAUAUAAACUUUGUAACUUUUUGGACAUUGAAA